GACGUAGGGCGCGAGCGUUGUCCGGAUUUAUUGGGCGUAAAGAGCUCGUAGGCGGUUUGUCGCGUCGGGAGUGAAAUCCACUGGCUUAACUGGUGGCUUGCUUUCGAUACGGGCAGACUGGAGGUAUGCAGGGGAGAACGGAAUUCCUGGUGUAGCGGUGAAAUGCGCAGAUAUCAGGAGGAACACCGGUGGCGAAGGCGGUUCUCUGGGCAUGUCCUGACGCUGAGGAGCGAAAGUGUGGGGAGCGAACAGG
rnacentral:rRNA from 1 species